rnacentral:ncRNA from 1 species
GAAGCGGGAAGCCGGCGUCAGCGGAUCGCUGGAUAAGACCGGCACCGCCGAUCCGUGAGGAUCGGCUGCU